rnacentral:rRNA from 1 species
AUUAGAGUUUGAUCAUGGCUCAGGAUGAACGCUGGCGGCGUGCCUAAUACAUGCAAGUCGAGCGAAUGGAUUAAGAGCUUGCUCUUAUGAAGUUAGCGGCGGACGGGUGAGUAACACGUGGGUAACCUGCCCAUAAGACUGGGAUAACUCCGGGAAACCGGGGCUAAUACCGGAUAACAUUUUGAACCGCAUGGUUCGAAAUUGAAAGGCGGCUUCGGCUGUCACUUAUGGAUGGACCCGCGUCGCAUUAGCUAGUUGGUGAGGUAACGGCUCACCAAGGCAACGAUGCGUAGCCGACCUGAGAGGGUGAUCGGCCACACUGGGACUGAGACACGGCCCAGACUCCUACGGGAGGCAGCAGUAGGGAAUCUUCCGCAAUGGACGAAAGUCUGACGGAGCAACGCCGCGUGAGUGAUGAAGGCUUUCGGGUCGUAAAACUCUGUUGUUAGGGAAGAACAAGUGCUAGUUGAAUAAGCUGGCACCUUGACGGUACCUAACCAGAAAGCCACGGCUAACUACGUGCCAGCAGCCGCGGUAAUACGUAGGUGGCAAGCGUUAUCCGGAAUUAUUGGGCGUAAAGCGCGCGCAGGUGGUUUCUUAAGUCUGAUGUGAAAGCCCACGGCUCAACCGUGGAGGGUCAUUGGAAACUGGGAGACUUGAGUGCAGAAGAGGAAAGUGGAAUUCCAUGUGUAGCGGUGAAAUGCGUAGAGAUAUGGAGGAACACCAGUGGCGAAGGCGACUUUCU